UACGUAGGGGGCUAGCGUUGUCCGGAAUCAUUGGGCGUAAAGAGCGUGUAGGCGGCUUUACAGGUCCGUUGUGAAAACUCGAGGCUCAACCUCGAGACGCCGGUGGAAACCGUAAAGCUAGAGUCCGGAAGAGGAGAGUGGAAUUCCUGGUGUAGCGGUGAAAUGCGCAGAUAUCAGGAAGAACACCCGUGGCGAAGGCGGCUCUCUGGGACGGUACUGACGCUGAGACGCGAAAGCGUGGGGAGCGAACAGG
rnacentral:rRNA from 1 species